AAGUCAUCAUGCUUCUCACUCCCAGGGAACACACAGAAUCUUCUUUUCGCGACGAAUCUUUCUGAAUUCCUAAACUGCUGCUGCUUUACUCCCACUCUUCUGAUUCUCAAAUGGCAUCUCAAGGAUUAUUGGAGACGACAGAGGAAUUUCCAACUAGGAUCAAUUACCGUCCAAAUGGGAAGCCUCGAAUUGUAAUUGAACGCUACAUGCCUGAACUCGAAGCAUAUAUGCAAAGAGAUGCUGAACCAAUUGAUUUGAAUGUGAUCCGGGAUAUCAAUGAUCGAUUGACAGCUAUGCUAGAAGAUGUUAGAUUGAUGAAGAAACGACUCACUCGUAUCAUGAUUUUGCAGUUGCUAUGUCUCUUCAUUGCAUUUUCAGGUCUUUUUGUGAAGUUGAUCCGAAAGUAAGUAGUGUUACGAGAUAAGCCAUUUGACCUUUCAGAAAUGGAGUAUGACUUUCAUUUUUAAUUGUUCUUUGAAUGUUUGUGCUGUGGAAACAGCCUUUUGCCGAAAUGCACAGGGUAAGGCUGCAUACAAUAGACCCUUAGUGCACCGGGUUGUCCUUUGGAUGUUUGUGCUUCUAGUAGGUACAAUGUAUGGCUCGUGUUCCCAUCAUUGUGUAUGUUGUAAAAUUGUAAAUAAGUUCAUGCAAACAACGUUUUGGCCUUCUUUUUGACAAGUGCAAACAAGUUUUUGGCUUUGUUCAUUGAAAA